rnacentral:rRNA from 1 species
GUGCCAGCCGCCGCGGUAAUACGGAGGGUGCGAGCGUUGUCCGGAAUCAUUGGGCGUAAAGGGCGCGUAGGUGGCGGGAUAAGCGUGCGGUGAAAGCUCGGGGCUCAACCCCGAGUCGGCCGUGCGAACUAUCUUGCUUGAGCACUGUAGAGGCAGGCGGAAUUCCGGGUGUAGCGGUGGAAUGCGUAGAGAUCCGGAAGAACACCGGUGGCGAAGGCGGCCUGCUGGGCAGUAGCUGACACUGAGGCGCGACAGCGUGGGGAGCAAACAGGAUUAGAUACCCUCGUAGUCC